AAGUCACAGUAUCAUGUCAGUUUUGAAAACAGAAACCUCAAACAUUUUUCUACAAGCUUAAAAUUUAAGUGGAAAUAGGGGAUAACACUAACUGGGGAUAACUAAUAGGGCAUAACUAACUAACUGGGGAUAACAUUUGGAGUGGUCAUAGAACCAGUUGUACUGAUGGAAAUUUGUCAAAUGAUCCUGCGAAGUCCAGUUCCUUUAGAUAAAUAUAUUUGAAGCCUUGUUUUUUCAAGAAUGGUCAGAUGAUUAUUUCUUUAGCUCUUUGGUAGAAGUGUGUAGAUUGUAAGCCUUCUACAUAAAAAUACUAUACAAAUCUGUAGGUGUCUGUUUAACAUGAAACCUGGAAAAGUCUUUUUUGCCAACUGUGUAUCAUGUGCCAUUUCCUUUUUAUUUUGCAAAGAUGCCUUUACCAUCAAAACCCAGAAGAUCUUUUCAAAUGCUUUUAGAUUGGAUGACAUGUGGAAUUAAUUGCUUAC
rnacentral:lncRNA from 1 species